rnacentral:rRNA from 1 species
GAUGAACGCUGGCGGCGUGCUUAACACAUGCAAGUCGAACGGUGAACGAGGGAGCUUGCUCCCUCCGGAUCAGUGGCGAACGGGUGAGUAACACGUGAGCAAUCUGCCCUGGACUCUGGGAUAAGCGUUGGAAACGACGUCUAAUACCGGAUACGAGGCGUGGGGGCAUCCCCAACGCCUGGAAAGAACUUCGGUCCAGGAUGAGCUCGCGGCCUAUCAGGUAGUUGGUGAGGUAAUGGCUCACCAAGCCUACGACGGGUAGCCGGCCUGAGAGGGUGACCGGCCACACUGGGACUGAGACACGGCCCAGACUCCUACGGGAGGCAGCAGUGGGGAAUAUUGCACAAUGGGCGCAAGCCUGAUGCAGCAACGCCGCGUGAGGGACGACGGCCUUCGGGUUGUAAACCUCUUUUAGCAGGGAAGAAGCGAAAGUGACGGUACCUGCAGAAAAAGCACCGGCUAACUAUGUGCCAGCAGCCGCCGUAACAC